UUAUUUCAUGGUAUAACUUUGGUAUGCUUGGACCUAGAGUCUUCAAACUUGACAUGAAGGUUGGCCAGGAUUAACAGAUGACCACUGGUCAUUUCAAGGUCAUUCAUUUGAAGGUGAAGGUCACUGUGACCUUCAAUAUAAAAAUGUUAAAGUUGUUAUAACUUUGGUAUGCUUGGACCUAGAGUCUUGAAACUUGACAUGAAGGUUUGCCAGAACUAGUAAGUAACCACUGGACAUUUCAAGGUCAUUCAUUUGAAGGUCAAGGUCACUGUGACCUUGAAUGUAAAAAUGUUAAAGUUGUUAUAACUUUGGUAUGCUUGGACCUAGAGUCUUGAAACUUGACAUGAAGGUUUGCAAGCACACUUAGAUGACCACUGGUCAUUUCAAGGUCAUUCAUUCUAAGGUCAAGGUCACUGUGACCUUGAAUGUAAAAAUGUUAAAGUUCUUAUAACUUUGGUAGGUAAAAAUGUUAAAGUUCUUAUUCCAUGUUAUAACUUUGGUAUGCUUGUACCUAGAGUCUUCAAACUUGACAUAAAGGUUGGCCAGUACUAGAAGAUCACCACUGCUCAUUUCAAUGUCAUUCAUUUGAAGGUCAAGGUCACUGUGACCUUCAAUGUUAAAAUGUUAAAAUUGUUAUAACUUUGGUAUGCUUGGACCUAGAAUCUCAAACUUGACGUAAAGGUUUGCAAGCACACUUAGAUGACCACUGGUCAUUUCAAGGUCAUUCAUUUCAAUGUCAUUCAUUUGAAGGUCAAGGUCACUGUGAACUUAAAUGUUAAAAUGUUAAAAUUGUUGUAACUUUGGUACUUUCCUGUCAUUUAAAUCAAAAAUCCGGCUUCAAUGCGGUCAUCUCCGACCGCGGAACUCUUGUA